rfam:Cafeteria roenbergensis virus BV-PW1, complete genome.
GCCUUAUUAGCUCAGUUGGAUUAGAGCAGCAGGCUUUUAACCUGAUGGUCGUGGGUUCGAAUCCCACAUAAGGCU